rnacentral:rRNA from 1 species
UGGGGAAUCUUGCGCAAUGGGCGAAAGCCUGACGCAGCGACGCCGCGUGAGUGAUGAAGGCCUUCGGGUUGUAAAGCUCUGUGGGCGGGGACGAAUAAGGGUUGGCUAACAUCCAACCUGAUGACGGUACCCGUUUAGCAAGCACCGGCUAACUCUGUGCCAGCAGCCGCGGUAAGACAGAGGGUGCAAACGUUGUUCGGAAUUACUGGGCGUAAAGCGCGUGUAGGCUGCUCCGCAAGUCGGAUGUGAAAGCCCUGGGCUCAACCUAGGAAGUGCAUUCGAUACUGCAGAGCUUGAGUCCUGGAGAGGAAGGCGGAAUUCUCGGUGUAGAGGUGAAAUUCGUAGAUAUCGAGAGGAACACCGGUGGCGAAGGCGGCCUUCUGGACAGUGACUGACGCUGAGACGCGAAAGCGUGGGGAGCAAACAGGAUUAGAUACCCCUGUAGUCC